CCCUUCGGGGUGGAUUAGUGGCGAACGGGUGAGUAACACGUGGGCAAUCUGCCCUUCACUCUGGGACAAGCCCUGGAAACGGGGUCUAAUACCGGAUAACACUCUGUCCCGCAUGGGACGGGGUUAAAAGCUCCGGCGGUGAAGGAUGAGCCCGCGGCCUAUCAGCUUGUUGGUGGGGUAAUGGCCUACCAAGGCGACGACGGGUAGCCGGCCUGAGAGGGCGACCGGCCACACUGGGACUGAGACACGGCCCAGACUCCUACGGGAGGCAGCAGUGGGGAAUAUUGCACAAUGGGCGAAAGCCUGAUGCAGCGACGCCGCGUGAGGGAUGACGGCCUUCGGGUUGUAAACCUCUUUCAGCAGGGAAGAAGCGAAAGUGACGGUACCUGCAGAAGAAGCGCCGGCUAACUACGUGCCAGCAGCCGCGGUAAUACGUAGGGCGCAAGCGUUGUCCGGAAUUAUUGGGCGUAAAGAGCUCGUAGGCGGCUUGUCACGUCGGAUGU
rnacentral:rRNA from 1 species